UAUCCCAUGGCCGAUUUCUUGCGAAAUCUCCUAACUUUUAAAUAUUUCCGAUCAAAAGACUGCUGCUCAAACGGAGCCCACCGGGAGCGUGUUUGCAAAUUCUGGAGUAAACAAGAGCGGGAAGCUGAUAAGGUCACUCGGCUAUUUACUUCCUUCCCCGGCUCCUCAGCGUCCUCCACAGUCCUACAACUUCCGCUUGCCUCGUUGUCUGGGAAACCGCCGACUUCCGGUCGCGCAGUGGUGGGCUGAGCCAAGAUGGCUGAGAGAACUCAAUUUCCUGCAUCUACUGAGUCUCAAAAACCCCAGCAGAAAAAAGUCCUCCUCCAACUCCUCCCCUCUGCAUGCGCCUCAGAGCCGGUACCAAGAACUGGAAGUAGCCCUGGACUCAAGCUCCGCAAC